rnacentral:rRNA from 1 species
UAGGGAAUCUUCGGCAAUGGACGAAAGUCUUACCGAGCAACGCCGCGUGAGUGAAGAAGGUUUUCGGAUCGUAAAACUCUGUUGUUAGAGAAGAACAAUGACGUUAGUAACUGAACGUCCCCUGACGGUAUCUAACCAGAAAGCCACGGCUAACUACGUGCCAGCAGCCGCGGUAAUACGUAGGUGGCAAGCGUUGUCCGGAUUUAUUGGGCGUAAAGCGAGCGCAGGCGGUUUCUUAAGUCUGAUGUGAAAGCCCCCGGCUCAACCGGGGAGGGUAAUUGGAAACUGGGAGACUUGAGUGCAGAAGAGGAGAGUGGAAUUCCAUGUGUAGCGGUGAAAUGCGUAGAUAUAUGGAGGAACACCAGUGGCGAAGGCGGCUCUCUGGUCUGUAACUGACGCUGAGGGUCGAAAGCGUGGGGAGCAAACAGG